rnacentral:rRNA from 1 species
AUUGAACGCUGGCGGCAUGCUUUACACAUGCAAGUCGAACGGUAACAGGCCGCAAGGUGCUGACGAGUGGCGAACGGGUGAGUAAUGCAUCGGAACGUGCCCAGUCGUGGGGGAUAACGCAGCGAAAGCUGUGCUAAUACCGCAUACGAUCUAUGGGUGAAAGCGGGGGACCGUAAGGACUCGCGCGAUUGGAGCGGCCGAUGUCAGAUUAGGUAGUUGGUGGGGUAAAGGCCUACCAAGCCGACGAUCUGUAGCUGGUCUGAGAGGACGACCAGCCACACUGGGACUGAGACACGGCCCAGACUCCUACGGGAGGCAGCAGUGGGGAAUUUUGGACAAUGGGCGCAAGCCUGAUCCAGCAAUGCCGCGUGCAGGAAGAAGGCCUUCGGGUUGUAAACUGCUUUUGUACGGAACGAAACGGUCUGGGUUAAUACCCCGGGCUAAUGACGGUACCGUAAGAAUAAGCACCGGCUAACUACGUGCCAGCAGCCGCGGUAACAC